UGGUUCUCGUUAGAUCACCGAAGUCAAGCAUCAUUGGGCGCGGUCAGUACUUGGGUGGGUGACCACCUGGGAACACUGCGUGCCGUU